UUAUGGCGACCGGCGCACGGGUGAGUAACACGUAUCCAACCUGCCGAUGACUCGGGGAUAGCCUUUCGAAAGAAAGAUUAAUACCCGAUGGCAUAGUUCUUCCGCAUGGUAGAACUAUUAAAGAAUUUCGGUCAUCGAUGGGGAUGCGUUCCAUUAGGUUGUUGGCGGGGUAACGGCCCACCAAGCCUUCGAUGGAUAGGGGUUCUGAGAGGAAGGUCCCCCACAUUGGAGCUGAGACACGGUCCAA
rnacentral:rRNA from 1 species